UGAACGCUGGCGGCGUGCCUAAUACAUGCAAGUCGAGCGAACAGACGAGGAGCUUGCUCCUCUGACGUUAGCGGCGGACGGGUGAGUAACACGUGGAUAACCUACCUAUAAGACUGGGAUAACUUCGGGAAACCGGAGCUAAUACCGGAUAAUAUAUUGAACCGCAGGGUUCAAUAGUGAAAGACGGUUUUGCUGUCACUUAUAGAUGGAUCCGCGCCGCAUUAGCUAGUUGGUAAGGUAACGGCUUACCAAGGCAACGAUGCGUAGCCGACCUGAGAGGGUGAUCGGCCACACUGGAACUGAGACACGGUCCAGACUCCUACGGGAGGCAGCAGUAGGGAAUCUUCCGCAAUGGGCGAAAGCCUGACGGAGCAACGCCGCGUGAGUGAUGAAGGUCUUCGGAUCGUAAAACUCUGUUAUUAGGGAAGAACAAAUGUGUAAGUAACUAUGCACGUCUUGACGGUACCUAAUCAGAAAGCCACGGCUAACUACGUG
rnacentral:rRNA from 1 species